rnacentral:rRNA from 1 species
AUUGAACGCUGGCGGCAGGCCUAACACAUGCAAGUCGAGCGGAUGAAGGGAGCUUGCUCCUGGAUUCAGCGGCGGACGGGUGAGUAAUGCCUAGGAAUCUGCCUGGUAGUGGGGGAUAACGUCCGGAAACGGGCGCUAAUACCGCAUACGUCCUGAGGGAGAAAGUGGGGGAUCUUCGGACCUCACGCUAUCAGAUGAGCCUAGGUCGGAUUAGCUAGUUGGUGGGGUAAAGGCCUACCAAGGCGACGAUCCGUAACUGGUCUGAGAGGAUGAUCAGUCACACUGGAACUGAGGCACGGUCCAGACUCCUACGGGAGGCAGCAGUGGGGAAUAUUGGACAAUGGGCGGAAGCCUGAUCCAGCCAUGCCGCGUGUGUGAAGAAGGUCUUCGGAUUGUAAAGCACUUUAAGUUGGGAGGAAGGGCAGUAAGUUAAUACCUUGCUGUUUUGACGUUACCAACAGAAUAAGCACCGGCUAACUUCGUG